GUCUAUGGCCAUACCACCCUGAACAUGCUUGAUCUGGGAAGCUAAGCAGACUUGGGCCUGGUUAGUAUUUGGAUGGGAGACAGUUAAGUGCCAAGCUAGAUC
rnacentral:rRNA from 1 species